rnacentral:rRNA from 1 species
AACGAACGCUGGCGGCGCGCCUAACACAUGCAAGUCGAACGAGAAGCUGUAGCAAUACAGUUGUACAGUGGCGAACGGGUGAGGAAUACAUGGGUGACCUACCCUCGAGUGGGGAAUAACCAGCCGAAAGGUUGGCUAAUACCGCGUACGUUUCCCAGUCCGCGGAUUGGGAAGGAAAGCGAUGCCGUGGGUAUCGCGCUCAAGGUUGGGCUCAUGUCCUACCAGCUUGUUGGGAGGUACGGCUCGCCAAGGCAACGACGGGUAGCUGGUCUGAGAGGACGAUCAGCCACACUGGCACUGCGACGACGGGCCAGACUCCGUACGGGAGGCAGCAGUGAGGAAUAUUGCGCAAGUGGGACGAAAGCCUGACGCAGCGACGCCGCGGUGGGGGA